CUCUUCUCUCACACACACACACAGGUCUCUGUAAACGUUACCAGUACAGCCCUUUGAGCAUGCCAGGCAGAGAUGCCCAUGACCUAUGAAUUUCUCAGCAACCCUUUCAGUAAGACCUGCCCUUUGGUGAGGCACACUUCAAAAGGCACAGCUGACAGGGCCAGGUUCGUGCAUGGGAAGGCCAAUGAACACUGCCUUGCACGUCAGCUCUCUGUGACAAAAUGCACUCGAGUUCCAAAACACAUUCUGACAUCUUCCAACCAGUUAGCACUCCUGCUGCACUGAUCACUUGACUGACCUUCUUCUGCCUCAGUGAAGGAUUUCUGAAGAUGCAGAACACGUGCGCUGGUCCGCUCACGGUCUGUUUCCAUCUCUGUCAGCUGCCGUGCCAGGGCUGCCAGCUGAUGGCAAGUUUCGUCCUAAGGGGGAAGCAAAUAACUAAUUCUUAAAGCCUUCUCUUCCACAGAUGUAUUGCUGGCAUUGGAUGAGCAGAGACUGACUGGCACAAGGUGAACCCUGAGGUUUAAUUAUUGAGCUGUUGAUAUGACAAACGUCACUGAAAUAUUAUGUCAGGGAAAUGUCAGAAUUCUGUUCCUCUGUGUGUGCAGAACAAUUCUGUUUGUUUUAAUUGGGUAAUUAACUGCUGCAUUCAUAGGACUUGUACCCCAGAAUCUGAAGGUUGCAGGUUGAUACACCACCAAAGAAGUUCACCACAUAAUCUGGGCUGUACAAUCCAGUGCACUUGUGGAGAUGUUACUGUGUUGUUACAUGUAUUUGUUUUUCUGAUAAAACAUUAAGGCAAGGCUAUGGUGUGCCUUUUCCAGUGAUACACAAAAUGUCUCAUGUUACUCUGCAAAGAAGAGCGUGGAGCUCUUCCUGGUAUCCUGAAUAACAUUCCUCCCUCAACCAACCAGCGUAACCUUGAAAACAUCCAAAAGUCUGUGUCUUAACUCACACCGACUCCUGUUCUUCAAUGGGAUGAUAUCAUCUCGAUCUUAAAACUCACACUCUUGCCUCAAAUCCUUCCCUGGUCUUAACUCUCCUUUAUCCUGAAAUCCUGUCAAUUCUCACAAAGCUCUGAGAUAUCUGCAUCCAUUCAAUUCUAGUCAACUGAACAUCUCUGAUUUCAGUGCUCCACCAUUUGUGGCCUGUCUUCAGCUGUCUAAGCUCAGAGGUCUAAAAUUCCUUCCCUAAGCCUCUUCACGUCUUUAUCUCAUUUUUGUCUUUUGAGCCAAUAGAAAUGAAUUCUUCAUGAGACCAUAAACAAAAGGAGAUGAUUACAAGUAUGUACAGCAUGGAAUUCUAAGAUACUUGACCCUGUGCCUCUGCGUGUCAUGAAGUUCCUGCAGGAAAUCUUGCAGGGCACUUUUAACAAUUUCAGGAUCGAUGUCAGCUGUGUACGGUUCAGCACGGCUAGGUGACACAGAGCGGCCAGGAGUGUCAGAGUGACUCCGAUCCGGAGAUCCAGUUCGUGGGAUUGGACUGCCCCGUCCAUCUGUGGUAGUGGUGUAAGUGUUGUCAAAACCUGCGGAUUGAAAAACAGAUACUCUCUAAUGAAAAUGGGUAAAAUUAGUCUCCGGCAAACAAGUGAAGCUAUUGUGAUUAGACAGUUCAAAGUGCGCUUUCAAUGGAUCAAUAAUUUUGCUGUCCUUACUCAUUUCUCUAAUCUGAUUAUAGAUUUCCUCUUCAAGUUCCUUCCUACAUUCCAGAAUACAUGCUGUACUAAGAAUGAUGCUGACAAUAAAUACAGACUGACUCAAAAAAUGCAGACCGACUCAACAUUAUUGGAGUUCAAAGAUGAAGAAAAAGGACUGGUUGCAUUAACUUGAGGUCGUAGCUAGAGUUAGAAAUUUGAACAGCAAGGUUAUUGUUCUGUGUACUUUUUUAUCCACUUCAGAAUCAGAACAAACAAGGCCUAAACAGUAGAAAGGGAAACAAUGUCCAUGGGACUCCUUGCUAAAGAGGUAUCUUAGCCAGCCUUCAACCUGGGAGACAGCUGUCUGAGGCCUAAAACAGCCCAGGUAGAGCAGAUAAAUGAGAGAGACCAGAAUAUCAUGAGGUUUAAGAUCCAAUUAGAACAGGAAAAUGAUUAGCACAAGAACUACCAGAAUCUUUGAGCAAGGUGACAGGAUCUCAAGGACAUAAUAUUAGCUUGCUAAUGUGAAGUGGGAACUGGAAAUAAUCCCUGUGCUAGAACAGGUUAAACUAAGAUACAUUUGAAAAUAACCACAGUUUGCAGGGACCAAGCAAUAAAUACAGGAAGAUGGAACGGAAUACACUGAAAUAUGGCUAACUCCAAUUUGCGUACCUUUGGUGGGAGAGAGGGGUCUCCGUGGAGAAGGGCUACGGCUGGAAAAUCCUGGGCUGACUGUUCUUCCGGAUCGGCCAAUUCCCAAAGUUCUGCGUAGUGUGGAGUACAAACUGCCCAACUUGCACUCCAUAUCCUUUUUGGCAGACUCUACUUUGGCCAGUUCUGUUUCUAGACCUGUUACACGGCCUUCCAUGGCACUGACCUUUAGUGUUAACUCAUCUGCUUCCCCCUUGGCAUGUUGCAGUUUCACUUCCAGAUUACGACUGUUUUCUUGAAAUUUCUUCUCAUUCACAUGGCAAUCAUCCAGCUGUUUAAGGAGCUUUUUCUCAUGAGCUUUGAACAUAUUUUCCAUGUCCAUGACCUUCUUCUGGAGGUUGGCAACCUAUAAAGGAGUGACAACACACCAACCUUGUGUGUAUCAGUGUUCUGAGGCUGAACCACACUGGCCCUGAACUUGGUGUUAUGUUCGGUACAGAGAUUAACAUCUUAACACAUGCAUGAGCCAUCAGUCAGAUCACCGCCCUCAUGUAAACUAUCUUUUACCCUUUUCAUCUCAUCUCCUACUGAACUGCUGAAUGGCAGAAUGGUCUCUGUUACCUCAUGCCUUGAUUAGAGACAUGUCAAACGGUCAAUCUCUCAGAUGUUUCCCUCUUUAAACUCAAGAUCACUCAAAUGCUGUUACAGAGAUAGUCCGAACUGCCAAUGCUGGAGAAUCUGAGAUAACAAGGUGUAGAGCUGGAUGAACACAGCAGGCCAGGCAGCGUCAGAGGAGCAGAUAAGGUGUUUUACCAAGUCUUGGCCUGUUUAUUUGGGACAUAAUGUAACGCAUGACUGCAUCAGAUAGAAGCGCCCUGUUGGAGGUAAAUUCAGACCACGGUCCUGUGGAGAAUAUAGAUCUCUCACUCUGAACGUCUCCCCAUAAUCUCCAAUCAUAGUUCCAGGAGGAGGGCAUCACUGACUCAGCAGCAUUUAUUGCCCAUCCCUAAUUUCCCAGAGGGCAUUUCAGAGUCAACCACAUUGCUGUGGGUCUGGAGUCACAUGUAGGCCA